rnacentral:rRNA from 1 species
UUGGAGGGCAAGUCUGGUGCCAGCAGCCGCGGUAAUUCCAGCUCCAAUAGCGUAUAUUAAAGUUGUUGCAGUUAAAAAGCUCGUAGUUGAAUUUCGGGAUCAAUGUUUCGGUCAUGCCGUUGGUAUGUACUGAUAUUAUUGAUUUCUCACCUUCUAAAGAACCGUAAUGCCAUUAAUUUGGUGUCACGGGGAAUUAGGACUGUUACCUUGAAAAAAUUAGAGUGUUUAAAGCAGGCUCACGCUUGAAUACAUUAGGAUGGAAUAAUGAAAUAGGACAUCCGAUUCUAUUUUGUUGGUUUCUAGGAUCGAUGUAAUGAUUAAUAGGGAUAGUUGGGGGCAUUAGUAUUCAAUUGUCAGAGGUGAAAUUCUUGGAUUUAUUGAAGACUAACUACUGCGAAAGCAUUUGCCAAGGAUGUUUUCAUUAAUCAAGAACGAAAGUUAGGGGAUCGAAGACGAUCAGAUACCGUCGUAGUCUUAACCAUAAACUAUGCCGACUAGGGAUCGGAUGAUGUUAAUUUUUUAAUGACUCAGGCACCAGACUUGCCCUCCAA